UGGGGAAUAUUGCACAAUGGGGGAAACCCUGAUGCAGCGACGCCGCGUGAACGAAGAAGGUAUUCGUAUCGUAAAGUUCUGUCCUAUGGGAAGAUAAUGACAGUACCAUAGAAGAAAGCUCCGGCUAAAUACGUGCCAGCAGCCGCGGUAACACGUAUGGCGCGAGCGUUGUCCGGAAUUAUUGGGCGGAAAGGGUACGCAGGCGGUUUAAUAAGUCGAAUGUUAAAGAUCGGGGCUCAACCCCGCAAAGCAUUGGAAACUGAUAAGCUUAAGUAGUGGCGAGGAAAGUGGAAUUCCUAGUGUAGUGGUGAAAUACGUAGAUAUUAGGAGGAAUACCAGUAGCGAAGGCGACUUUCUGGACACAAACUGACGCUGAGGUACGAAAGCGUGGGGAGCAAACAGG
rnacentral:rRNA from 1 species